rnacentral:rRNA from 1 species
GACGAACGCUGGCGGCGUGCUUAACACAUGCAAGUCGAACGGAAAGGCCCUGCUUUUGUGGGGUGCUCGAGUGGCGAACGGGUGAGUAACACGUGAGUAACCUGCCCUUGACUUUGGGAUAACUUCAGGAAACUGGGGCUAAUACCGGAUAGGAGCUCCUGCUGCAUGGUGGGGGUUGGAAAGUUUCGGCGGUUGGGGAUGGACUCGCGGCUUAUCAGCUUGUUGGUGGGGUAGUGGCUUACCAAGGCUUUGACGGGUAGCCGGCCUGAGAGGGUGACCGGCCACAUUGGGACUGAGAUACGGCCCAGACUCCUACGGGAGGCAGCAGUGGGGAAUAUUGCACAAUGGGCGGAAGCCUGAUGCAGCAACGCCGCAUGCGGGAUGACGGCCUUCGGGUUGUAAACCGCUUUCGCAUGUGACGAAGCGUGAGUGACGGGAAUGGGUAAAGAAGCACCGGCUAACUACGG